rnacentral:lncRNA from 10 species
GCUUAUUUUAUCCAGGAGUUCUAGGUAAGACCACUUUUUCAAAUAUCCUCUGAACGUUGACUUAGGUGCACACACCUGUGCUUCCAUUGGCAACAAAAGCUUUGAAUGCACAGGACUUCCACGGCAUGAAAUGCAUUUACAUACAUUACAUAAGAGAGAAGCAAUGAGCAAGUCUGUUGCUGGGAGAGGCUCACAUCCUUCUCACCAAAUCAAUCUGUAACUUUCAAAUAGCUCUGCUGUAUUUCCUAGCAACAGGAGUAAACACUGUACUACAUCCAGUGCCCAAGAUUUGUAACCACGUUAAUCUGUUAGAAGCCUAGAUGUGUGACUGGAGAUGCCUCCUGUCCAUUCAAUCUGACUCCAAUGUGGUUCUGCAGCACUGGACAAAGAUGGGAGAUUGAAACAGGAGCCCCUGCGAUGGGGGAACAGAGCCAGGGAGCAGGGGUUGGACAGAACCCAGGUUUGAGAAAACAACCUUGUGAACCUUCUAUUGGAGCAGCAAUAAAGAUCUGAGCUAAGUGUCGAGGGAGGCUGAGGAGGUGGUCACUAAGUCUGUCUUAGGCAUCCCAGGGUCUCCUCAGAGUCCAAGCCUGAAGUCCACUGCAGGGGUCACCAGCCACCUGUGGCCACAUUGGAAUGUGGCCAUUCUGAAUUGAGCUUUUAAAACAGAUUUUUUAACCUGGAGUCCAAGGAGUCCCAGGAAAUCCACAGACGAGAUUCAAUGGAUCCUUGAAAUCCCUAAAAUUAAAUACAAAGCGGGGAUUGAUGACCAAAGAAGGCAGCUAUAAUGUUUUAUUCUCAAGAUGAUGGUUACUCAUCUUAGAAUAAAAACAACAACAACAAAAAAUAACAGAUGAAUGGGAAGAGCCCAAUCAAAGCUUUAUUCUACUCCUCAACAACUCAGGAGUUAAGCCUAAAGCUGCAGAUGAAAAUUUUGCCACCAUGAAGAAAAGAAGAAAUCAGAAUUGGAUUCUUUCUGAACUUUUCCUUUACAGUAGCCAGUAUAUGCCCUUUCCUACUUGAGCAAGUAUAAACUGGGUUUCUGUGAUUUGCAACCAAGUGUCCUGACAAACACAAGGAUGAAAGACAACUGUGUCUCAAUAAAGGAAAAAUAGUUUAUUUUUAUGAGUGGUGGAUUUAAAAAACCUACAUUACUGUGACAAGAGUACCUUAAAACAUUUAAGUCUACAAAAGGCACUUAGGGACUUUAUAGCAAACUCUACACUUAUAAUGAAAAGCCAGACCAGAUCAUUUUAAAAAAACGUUACUGCACGAGAUAAUGGCACAUCCACUCGUUCAAUUAACAUUUAUUGAGUGUCUUCAGGGGUUUUAGACUUGUGCAAUAAAAAUGAUAAAAACGUAUUCUUUGGUUUGAGCUGGUCCAUCCAAGGUCGUUCCAUAAAGAGCAGCUGUGUAUGCUGUUCAGACUAAUUGUGUGAAGCUGGAGAGGCCAGGUGUUUCUGUCUGGCCCAGCAGCUGCACUUUGCGGUAAGGGCACCACCUGAAUUUCAGUCUGGCCAUAAAAUGAGGCUGAAGAAACAGCACCUUGCAUGAGCUUUUAGGUGAAAGGCAGAACAG